UGGGAACAGGGUGUGUGUGCGCACCAAAAAGCACCAAGGAGGAACUGGAGCCUUGGCGGGUCCAGGAGGGUGCCCAGAGCAGCUCUGCAAGCAAAGUUAGUGCCUUCACUCCUCUGUCAUCACCAGUCCCUGAGAGCAAUCACCACCCACCAACAGUUCCUUGAGAUAAGCCCGAGCCAGCUGGGAGAAGAAAGCCUUUGAUAUUCCCCUGCCUUGCUGAGCUGCUGUGGCAUCAAAGGUUGCUCGUGCUGAUGAGUAUGUGCAAGCCAGGAAAGUGGAAUCAACCCUGGACCAGAUGAAAACCUUCCCACAGCAUGGAUGGAGACUAGGCCAACCCUGGCACAUGGAAAUGGACCUGUGCAGCUUAAAAGUCAGGCACAACACAGCAGCAGCAGGGAGAGGAGGAUUUGUCCCAGUGAAUACACAAGCUGUAUGAGGAUAUCUCAGCAGGCAGCCCCCAAGCUCCAGCAGGACCCAAGGAUCCAGGAUCCAGCACAAUGCAGUGGCCCGAGAAAGGAUUUUUGUGGGUCAGUUGGAUGUGUUCCCUGCUUCAUACUGAGGCUCUGAGAUGGACCCGAGGUUUACACUUCAAUUUCUGGGAACAGAAAGUAAUCAGAAGUUUUUCCAGCUAUCUAAAGCACAGACCCACGGAACCAAUUUUAAUUAGAAAGCCUAGUGGGAAAAGCUCUGCAGGAGCUCCAGUCACAGUUGGCCGGGCCCCUGGCUGGGUGAGCUGGAACCUGGCUGAGGGCAGGACCUGCUUGCAAGGAGAGGCUGCCAAGAUUGUGCUGAGAAGUCUGUUUUGUAGGCUCUGCUCUUACCCAGGCUGUGCUUCGGCCAGGAAAUGAAAGGUGUCUCAACCAGAAAAGCUUAAGUUCAGAGAAUUACCAAAUGGGGGAGAACCCCCCAAG